rnacentral:rRNA from 1 species
AUUGAACGCUCGCGGCAGGCCUAACACAUGCAAGUCGAACGAGUGGCGGACGGAUGAGUACUGUCUGAGCAACUGCCUGAUGGAGGGGGAUAACUACUGGAAAAGGUAGCUAAUAACGCAUACCAUCAGAUGUGCCCAGAGGGGAUUAGCUUGUUGGUGGGGUAACGGCUCAACAAGGCGACGAGCCCUAGCUGGUCUGAGAGGAUGACCAGACACACUGGAACUUAGAAACGGUCCAGACUCUUACGGGAGGCAGCAGUGGGGAAUAUUCCACAAGGGGCGAAAGCCUGAUGUAGCCAUGCCGCGUGUAUGAAGAAGGCCGUCGGAUUGUAAAGUACUUUGGUCGGGGAGGCGUUACCCGAAGAGGGAGCCCCGGCUAACUCCGUGCCAGGAGGCGCGGUAAUAC